AAUAAAACCUUUUUGCAGCUGUAACAAAAAUAUUCCCACUUGCGACAUAUUGUAGCGCCUUACUUGUGGCGAGUACAAAGCUGACAAAGAACGUUAACCAGUGUAACAUUGCGUACAGUGAUUACGUCCCUUGGUACACGUUAAUUAUAAUUUCUCGCUGCGAUAAUGGUCGCCUGUUGCUGACACAGGUACUCAGCUCAAUGAUACAUAUGCUCGCGCGCGCAUGCACACACCUACACAUAAGUAUACGAACGUACAAAGAAAAAUCACUUACACAAAUUCUUUACGAGUUGUCACACACAAAGACGGACACAAAAAUCAAACAGCUGUACUCAUAAAGUUUCCUGCACUAUAAAACAUAUGUACACAUGAGUGGAAGGUAUGAAAAAUAAAGAAAAAAGUGCGUCUACAGGUCAGACAUUAAAACAUCGAAGGUGGUAGUUGUGAGAAGUGAUGGUGACAAACUAUUACAAACACUGAGGCCAGAGAAGGAACAAGAGCGGCAGCAAAAGUAUCCUGUGUGACACGUGACAUAUACCGGAGGCUGACAUGAGUAAGUGGAGAGGUCCACUGGGCUGAGAAGAUGUUAUUAAAUUAAAUGCUGCUUAGCUUCUAAAUGCUUGCACGAUUGAAGACUUUGGUGCAAUCUGUCAUCCUCGUCACAGUUGUGUAUGGCCUGGGUAUAUCACAGAUGUGUUCAAUCUUUUGCACGAGCUUGAAAGAGCCCGGAUGUACAUUUCUAGAUUGGACUAGUGGAUAAGUGUCUGAUCGGAUGCAAACCACAGCUACAGUCUUAAGGACCACAGCCACUGCAGACUUUGUGUUUGAUGUCCUGCCAGUCAGUCUGACAUUCCUGUCAGUCUAUCGCAUCAGAUAUCAUCAUGUACAGGCUCAUCGCAUCUUGUCUCAUAUGUUAUCUCUUGAUUCAACGAUCGGGUCAGCUGACAGCGCGUUUGGCUAACGGGACGUGGUGGGCGGGACGCCUUGAGUUGUUCUACAACGGACAAGGUGUGGAGUACAGUGUGUGACGAUGAAUUUGAUAAAAACGACGCUCGGGUGGCCUGUAGGAUGCUGGGAUUUGACAGUCCCGAAGCACUAUUUGUGGGCUCUGCGAUGUACGGAGCAGGUUCAGGAAACAUUUUGCUGGACGACUUGGGGUGUACGGGUACAGAAACCAGUUUUGGCACAGUGUAGGCACGCAGGGUACAAUCAGCACAACUGCAAACACGGAGAGGAUGUCGGUGUCGUCUGCACCGUCCUAUCUAACCAACUUCGUCUAGCGGGUACUCGGCGCACAAGACAGGAUAUGGGUCGUGUUGAAAUUUAUUUAGAGGUUCAUGGACUACUCCUUGUGUCAGUAACUUCAGCAAUAGCGUUGCAAAAGUCUUGUGCAGGCAGAUGAACUUUCCCUCAAAAGCAGCAACUGUUGUGGAGCCAUCAUCCUUUGGACCGAGGACAGGACGUUUCCUUGUCGCUGGUAUUGUGUGCACCGGGCAUGGAGUCCAACAUACUGGGCUGUUUCCAGACAGUUACUGGCUUCAAUGAUACCUGCUUUUCACCUGAGCUUGGUGUAAUCUGCAGUGAUUGUAAAUUUAUUAUAAUUAAUUCUGCUAUUAAUUAUAUAACAUAGAUCAUCAUUAGACAAAAGAAAAGGUAAAAAAAUAUAUUUAAGAAAGAGUAUAUUGUUCUCUUUUCGCAGAAUCGCUUUCUGUCAAUGAUUCUUUGUCUGUAAGUAUCGUUGUGCAUGAGUAUCUCAGUGUUUCAGCCCUUUACUUGCUAAAACUGACAAUAUCAGAUGCCUUUAAGUAGUGUUACGUAUAUUGAAUACUUAGUGUGUUGCUG